AGUGAACGCUGGCGGUAGGCCUAACACAUGCAAGUCGAACGGCAGCACAGUAAGCGCUUGCUCUUACGGGUGGCGAGUGACGGACGGGUGAGGCAUACAUCGGAAUCUACUUUUUCGUGGGGGAUAACGUAGGGCAACUUACGCUACUACCGCAUACGACCUACGGGUGAAAGCAGUGUAUCUUCGGACCUUGCGCGAUUGAAUGAGCCGACGUCGGAUUAGCUAGUUGGCGGGGUAAUGGCCCACCAAGGCGACGAUCCGUAGCUGGUCUGAGAGGAUGAUCGGCCACACGGGAACGGAAACACGGACCAGACUACUGCGGGAGGCAGCAGUGGGGAAUAGUGGACAACGGGCGCGAGCCUUGUCCAGCCAGACCGCGUGUGUGAAGAAGGCCUUCGGGUUGUAAAGCCCUUUUGUUGGGAAAGAACAGCAGCAGGUUAAUACCCCGCUGUUCUGACGGUACCCAAAGAAUAAGCACCGGCUAACUACGUG
rnacentral:rRNA from 1 species